rnacentral:rRNA from 1 species
UACAGAGGGGGCAAGCGUUGUUCGGAAUUACUGGGCGUAAAGGGCGCGUAGGCGGCCUGUUAAGUCGAACGUGAAAUCCCCGGGCUCAACCCGGGAACUGCGUCCGAUACUGGCAGGCUUGAAUCCGGGAGAGGGAUGCGGAAUUCCAGGUGUAGCGGUGAAAUGCGUAGAUAUCGGGAGGAACACCAGUGGCGAAGGCGGCUAUCUGGACGCAUACUGACGCUGAAGUUCGAAAGCGUGGGGAGCAAACAGG